UACGGAGGGUGCAAGCGUUAUCCGGAUUUAUUGGGCUUAAAGGGCGUGUAGGUGGGCAGGCAAGUCAGCGGUGAAAUCUCCGGGCUUAACCCGGAAACUGCCGUUGAUACUAUUUGUCUUGAAUAUUGUGGAGGUAAGCGGAAUAUGUCAUGUAGCGGUGAAAUGCUUAGAUAUGACAUAGAACACCAAUUGCGAAGGCAGCUUACUACACAACGAUUGACGCUGAGGCACGAAAGCGUGGGGAUCAAACAGG
rnacentral:rRNA from 1 species